CUACGGGGGGCUGCAGUGGGGAAUACUGCACAAUGGGCGAAAGCCUGAUGCAGCGACGCCGCGUGGAGGAUGACGGUUUUCGGAUUGUAAACUCCUGUUAAGCGGGAAGAAAGGCGUGUGGCUAAUAUCUACACGAGAUGACGGUACCGCUAGAGAAAGCUCCGGCCAACUUCGUGCCAGCAGCCGCGGUAAUACGAAGGGAGCGAGCGUUAUUCGGAAUUACUGGGCGUAAAGGGCGCGUAGGCGGCUCAUUAAGUCAGUUGUAAAUACCAUGGCUUACCCAUGGAAGAGCAAUUGAUACUGGUGGGCUAAGAGGGCAAGAGAGAGGAGUGGAAUUCUCGGAGUAGCGGUAAAAUGCGUAGAUCUCGAGAGGAACACCGAUGGCGAAGGCAGCUUCUUGGCUUGUACCUGACGCUGAGGCGCGAAAGCGUGGGGAGCAAACAGGAUUAGAUACCCGGGUAGUC
rnacentral:rRNA from 1 species